AUUGUUCUUCAAAGUUUUAAGACACUGUAGGGUUAAUCUUGGGAUUUCACAUGGAAUUCUAAUAAAAGCGUGUAAUAAUUUGAGGAUCAAACUGGCGUCUCUUGAUUUCCCCUGAAUUGGUGAUUCGCCGUUUAUCUCUUGAAACCCUACAGUAGUAUAUCUGCUUAAUGCUUUCAUCGCCAUUUCCUCCUUCCAUUCCAAUUUAAAACUCCUGAUGAUGUUUGAAGCCGAGAAGAAACAAGAAACGGGGACGACGAUGACGAUGUGCACUCAGAUAAUGGUUCUAGAAAAUGUGAUCUCUAAAUGGGUAUGCCACUUCUGAAAUAAUGAUUUACUUAUAUGUGUACAACUAUGCUAUUGUUUAUAAGAGGACAAGUCGGCCUACAAGCCCUUUAACAAAGGGGCAGUGAUCUGCAAAAGAGGAUGAAAUAUUAUGUAAAGUUAUUCAGCAGCUCAAUGGCUGGAACUAAAAAAAUAGAUCAUAGAAAUUCUGAAGCUUGGGUUUUUCUCAUCUUAUAUCUUUAACUUGGAUUUUCACUUUCCUUUCUUCCAAUGGCUGCCUAAAGCAGAGUGAGUUCUUUUCUUUGAUACUUUUACUGGUUAUUGUAAACAUCCGUUUUUGUCAGACAAUGAAUUUUGUUUUCGUAUGCAAAUUAGGUUUUUUUUGGAGUUGUGUUGUGUUUGUUUGGAUCCUAGGGUGGGUCAAAUUGGAUAGUAUUUGGUUUCAUUUAUUUAAAACAGGAAGAAAAUUUAUGGAUGGCCACAACUGGGGAUACCGCUGUUGCAACAUUCAUCAAUAUGCUCAUUUUUUAGGCUAAAGAGUGUGGAUGAGGGUAGUCCCUUGUGGAUAAUCUGCCACGUAGGCGUUCACAUCAGCGGGUAUGGGGGAUGAGCCUAAAGGGAUGGGCCUAGGGUGUGGGGAUGACGAGCCCAAGGGGGCGGUUUUGCUUGUCCAAGCCGGAGGUCGAUGGGCAUGGGACGAGCCCCACACUCUGCAGCCUUAUAGCAUUUGUUGUUCUCCGGAUUCAACCUGUGAAUGUCAGAGUAUAAUUCCAAAGUGGUGUCUCAAGGGUUUACGAUAUUGCAAUGGAGGCAGUAUCUGAGGUUAAAUAACCAAUGCUAUAUCUCUUAUUAUAUUCAGUUUAUAAGAUAUGAAAAAAAUAAACAACACCUAUUUCAUUUCUUAUUAUUUCUAUAAUUAUGGCAGAUCCCGAGCUCUGUUCACCCUCUUAUUUCUUUCUUGUUGGUUGAGUGGGAAAGCAAGGAGGUUGGGUGGUUUGGGUAAUGGGUCAAAACUGCAGCCCGUUGUACCGAGCCGGAAGUUUUGAUCUUUCUUAACCGUGGCUAUGGCAUGGGAUGCAAUGUCUCUUUUACACCUUACGGGUUGCAUUAAGGCUUGUGAAGGCAGGAUCUGCUGUUUAUGGUAUUGAUGGUCAUGGGAAGUCUUCUUGGAUUCAGGGCUAUAUCCCCUCUUUUGAUGAUAUGCUCUAUUAAUGCAACAGAGAAGUCACAUUAUAUAUUCUUGGCAUUCAUCCGCUUCAGUAUAAGGUUAUCAGGCUGUUUUGGGUUUAGUGGUGCAUCAGGAGACGAUCGAUGGUUGGGCUUGCAAGGUGGUGUUGAAGCUGUCGAUCCGAGUUUGUAACUUUAUUUUUAUAAAUUUACAACAACCCAACUAACGAUGAAUGCCAACUUUAUUUUUAUAAAAAACGUAAGGUACAACAGUUAGAUGCAAAACACACCUCAGGUACGAGAGGCGCACGCCUCAGGCCAAAAAGCCCAGAAAAAUCCCAAUAAACCACACCUUUUUGGCACUUCUUGUAAUUACUCGAGGCGCUGAGCCCCCCCCCCCCCCCCCCCCCCCCCGCGGCCGGCGCGGGGUGUGCUCGCGCGUGUGUCUGUUACCAACAAUGUUCCUAGCUUGUAUGGUGAACAAGUUCCAUGAAGUGAUUUUGUCUGACCGUUAGUCAAGAUAUUUGGGUUAAUUAAUCUUGUUUUGUUAAUUAAUAGGUGGAAAGCGCCCCUGUGUGGAUCAACCAUCAGAAACUGCUGAUGAUGAUGCUGCCUUUGAAUACACAAAUGGGCUGGACCCAGAGUACCCGGUAUCACUUCUAAAGUGGAGGAUCCAUCAGCUGGUGCCAAAGUUGAAAAUCAUCUGUCGCCAGCAGAUUCUUAAAUUUACGGAUCCUUUGGGUUGCAAGGAUACUUAUUAAUAUUUCAAAUGUUUUGGUCAAAUUCGGGAUCAUCACUUGGUCAUAUAUUCAUGCCCUAUAUUAUCGACUCCGCCGCAACGCGCGGGUCUCCCACUAGUGUUCAAUAAUGUUUCUAAAAAGACACGUACUGAAGAUUAAUUUAUAUACCUUGAGAUUUAAGUUUUCAACGAGCACAUUGACAUGGA